rnacentral:lncRNA from 1 species
CCUAAUUCUUUAGUUAUAAAUACCCCCUUCUCUUUACUUGUAAGAACCAACCUAGAUACCUACUUUUUUUAACCUAGUCAUUUUCCAUAGCUAGUAUGUUAGAUAAAUUUACAUUUUGCUAGUCCCAAUUUCUUUUCCAAGUUUGUAACCACAUUUCAUUUUAAUGCAAAUUUUAUUUAGAUCUACUUUGUUUUGUUCCCUUUAUAAUUUUUUCUAGCACUCCUUUCUACCCCUCUUUGAAUCUCAAUAUUAAAGAGGGUUUGAUUGGUUAGAUUAGUGUGUUAAAAGCUUCUUUACUCAUAGAUUUAAUUUUCGAAGUGGAUUAAGAUCUAGCAUAAAAAAUAAUUUGUGCGGGGUUUUAAUUCCUUAAGUCCAAGAAACACACGAUUAGCAGCCUUCUGUUUUCUUUCUCAAAGUAGCUUCCUCUGUUUUUAAUUACAACACACGCAUUCCCCUGUUCUGUUUAUAUUCUGUCGAGUUACCACUGAGUCAACUCGCCCGCGUUCACCGAGUCACAGCGUUUUCUGAGUUCUUGCUUUGUUAAAUCACUGAGUUGGGUUUGUUGUUUUACCGAGUCAUCAUCCGAGUAUAACUGAGUUUUUAGUCGAUUGUUGUUUCUAUUUUUAUUGAGUCGCAGCGAGUUCUGGGUUUUGUUUGGAGUUGCUUGCUGAGUCGAUUUGUAAAGCAUAGUACUGAGUUCAUGUUUAAUCAGUCUGUUAGCUUUGCUUCUUUCGUUUUUAUUUGUGAUUUUGCUGCUAUGUUUUCGAGUUCAUUUCUGUUUAUUUUGAGUCCGAGUUGUGAGUCUUGUCUUUUUGGUUCUUGAAUUUGUAGCCCCGAGUACUGGUUUAAAAUCGAGUGGUGACUUGCCUGAGUUUAGUGAUUUGUGGGUUGCUGAGUUUUCCUUGUGUAGUUUAGUUUCUGUUUAUUAAUUCACCGAAUGUCUGCUGUAUUAGUUUGGUUUAGUGUUUGCUUUGAUUCUUUUAGAAGCAGAGUAAUAGUCUAAGUCAUAGUAGCUGAGUUGGUCUUCGAGUCUGUCCGUUUUCAGAGUCGAGUCCUUUAGUUAUGCCCGAGUUUCACUGAGUCGAUGCUGGUUGUUUUUUUUCGAUGUUUUCUUUUAUUGUUUUUGUUUUUGUUUCUUUUAUAUAUUUGAAUCACUUUGUU